CAGCUUGCUGCUUUGCUGACGAGUGGCGGACGGGUGAGUAAUGUCUGGGAAACUGCCUGAUGGAGGGGGAUAACCACUGGAAACGGUGGCUAAUACCGCAUAACGUCGCAAGACCAAAGAGGGGGACCUUCGGGCCUCUCACUAUCGGAUGAACCCAGAUGGGAUUAGCUAGUAGGCGGGGUAAUGGCCCACCUAGGCGACGAUCCCUAGCUGGUCCGAGAGGAUGAUCAGCCACACUGGGACUGAGACACGGCCCAGACUCC
rnacentral:rRNA from 1 species